GAGGCAGCAGUGAGGAAUAUUGGUCAAUGGGCGAGAGCCUGAACCAGCCAGGUAGCGUGCGGGAUGAAGGCCCUUGUGGUCGUAAACCGCUUUUAUCAGUGAAUAAAGUGCACCACGUGUGGUGUCAUUGCAGGUAGCUGAAGAAAAAGGACCGGCUAAUUCCGUGCCAGCAGCCGCGGUAAUACGGAAGGUCCGGGCGUUAUCCGGAAUUAUUGGGUUUAAAGGGAGCGCAGGCGGGAGUGUAAGUCAGCUGUUAAAUAUCAGGGCCCAGCUCUGUUAUGCAGUUGAAACUAUAUUUCUUGAGUACGCACAGGGAUGGCGGAAUUCAGGGUGUAGCGGUGAAAUGCUUAGAUAUCCUGAAGAACUCCGAUCGCGAAGGCAGCCAUCCGGAGCGUAACUGACGCUGAGGCUCGAAGGUGCGGGUAUCGAACAGGAUUAGAUACCCUGGUAGUCCGCACGGUAAACGAUGAAUACUCGCAGUUCGGCCGUUUAGGUCGAGUUGUCCAGCGAAAGCGUUAAGUAUUCCGCCUGGGGA
rnacentral:rRNA from 1 species